AUGAGUCCGGCGCUUGCCCUGGCGGUGGCGCUCCAGGUCAUCUCUUGUGCUGCUGCGGUGGCAUCGCCGGAGCCGGUGCCGGCGCUGAUCCUGCAGCGUUCUCUGCCGCUCAGCGGGACGCACCUGGAGCGGCUCAAGGAGCACGAUCGGUCGCGCCUGGCGAGGAAGGGGAAGAAUGGUGCGGCGGCUGCGGGUUUCUACCUGGACGGGAUGCCCGGGUUGUAUUAUGCCCAUGUGAAGUUGGGGACUCCAUCCAAGGAGUACUCUCUUCAGUUCGACACCGGAAGUGACGUCUUGUGGGUCUCUUGCACCCCAUGCACCGGCUGCCCUACAUCAACGGAGCUCAAUAUCACGUUGGAGUUUUAUGACCCAAACUCUUCUUCAACGUCAUCCAAGAUGUUAUGCUCCGACAAUAGGUGUACCUAUGCCCUCGAAACAGGGGCGGCGGUCUGUAAUCCCUCAGACUCCAGAAGCAGCCAAUGCGGUUACACUAAUACAUACGUCGAUGGAAGUGCUACGUCAGGAUACUAUGUGUCUGACACCCUUCAUUUUGACGCCUUCAUGAGAAAUGAGCAGGGUGUCAGUUCUUCAGCCUCAGUGUUUUUUGGAUGUAGCACCUCGCGGUCAGGGAACCUGCACACUGAUGGAAUUAUUGGAUUUGGAAAGAAUGCUAUAUCUGUAAUUUCACAGCUGAAAACUCAAGGGAUGUCCCCUAAAGUAUUCUCCCAUUGCCUGAAAGGCUCAAAAGAAGGUGGAGGCAUUCUUGUUCUUGGUGAACUUGUAGAGCCAGGACUUGUAUUCACGCCACUUGUUCAAUCACAGAAAGAAUUUUUCCCUGGAGUUACAUCGAUUAUGGAAUUUUAG
rnacentral:rRNA from 1 species